UUUUUAAAAAAAUUAUUUCUAUUAUUAAUAUUUAAAAAAAAAUCAUUUAUUAUUAAUAUUUAAAAAAAAAUCAUUUUUAUUAUUAAUAUUUAAAAAAAAUAGAAAACUAUUAUUAGUAUUUUACAAAAAUAUUAUUAUUAUUUUAAAAAAAUCAUUUUUAUUAUUUAAAUAUAGAAUGUAAUUAGAAAACUAUUUAAUAAUAAUUUUAAUAAGGUUAUUUAAUUAUAUAAUUAUAUUUAAAAUAAAUAAAAUAAUAAAAAAAUAUUCUACUUCAUAAGCUCGGUCAAUCAAUGGCCGAAUCUACUCAACAACUGCAACGCAUCAUCCUCUAGUCCAAUGAAUGGGCG
rnacentral:lncRNA from 1 species